GCCUAAGGGUUCCUGAGGAAGGCUCGUCCGCUCAGGGUUAGUCAGGACCUAAGCCGAGGCCGACAGGCGUAGGCGAUGGACAACAGGUUGAUAUUCCUUUACCACCUCUUUAUCGUUUGAGCAAUGGAGGGACGCAGAAGGGUAAAAGUAUCGGUCGAUUGGGUGGGCACGUCCAAGAAGUUAGGCUGAAAAGUAAGCAAAUCCGCUUGUCGUGAAGGCUGAGCAGUGAGGGGGCAGGUCCUUAAGGAGCGAGGUGCUGGAUUCCCCACUGAAAAGAAAAGCUGAUGGCGAGGUAAAAGGUGCCUGUCGCGAAAACCCAGACAGGUAGGCGAGGCGAGAACCCU
rnacentral:rRNA from 1 species